AGGAGAAAUUUGUUAAAAGCUCUGCCAGUUUUCUCUUCUAGCCCAAGAGACGAGAAGAAAGCUCCAAUGGAGGUACAUGCCGAGGCAGAGUUCUUCCAGCAUGUCUACCAAUUGGGAGAAGGAAAGAGUGACUACUUGACUACCGAAGGUUAUUCCACAGCUGCUUAAAGAAAUGGAGAAUUGUAGGAGGAGGUAGAUUUCCUAAAUUGUUAUGAGCAAGGCAAUCUACAUCCAAGCAUCUCAGCUCACUACAUAUCUGAGUCAUGACCAACAAGUGGCAUCACCCUUAAAUUGCUUGCAUGUUAAGACAUGAGUUUAGAGAGGUGUUUUUUUUUAAUAAAUCAAAAUGAAUCAUUUUACAUUA